AUACGGAGGAUCCGAGCGUUAUCCGGAUUUAUUGGGUUUAAAGGGUGCGCAGGCGGCCAUUUAAGUCAGCGGUUAAAUCGUGGGGCUCAACCCCAUUCUGCCGUUGAUACUGGGUGGCUUGAUUGCGGUCGAGGUUGGCGGAAUUCGUUGUGUAGCGGUGAAAUGCAUAGAUAUGACGAAGAACACCGAUUGCGUAGGCAGCAGACCAGACCGCAAAUGACCAUCAUGCACGAAAGUGCGGGGAACGAACAGUAUUAGAUGCCCUGGUAGUCCGCACAGUAAACGAUGAAUACUUGUUUUCGGCGAUAUAAUGUCGGAGGCAAAGCGAAAGCGAUAAGUAUUCCACCUGGGGAGUUCGCCGGCAACGGUGAAACUCAAAUGAAUUGACGGGG
rnacentral:rRNA from 1 species